rnacentral:rRNA from 1 species
CGAACGCUGGCGGCAGGCCUAACACAUGCAAGUCGAACGCUCCAGCAAUGGAGAGUGGCAGACGGGUGAGUAACGCGUGGGAACCUUCCCUAUGGUUCGGAAUAGCUCAGGGAAACUUGAGGUAAUACCGGAUAAGCCCUUCGGGGGAAAGAUUUAUCGCCAUUGGAUGGGCCCGCGUAGGAUUAGCUAGUUGGUGAGGUAACGGCUCACCAAGGCGACGAUCCUUAGCUGGUCUGAGAGGAUGAUCAGCCACACUGGGACUGAGACACGGCCCAGACUCCUACGGGAGGCAGCAGUGGGGAAUAUUAGACAAUGGGCGCAAGCCUGAUCCAGCCAUGCCGCGUGAGUGACGAAGGCCUUGGGGUUGUAAAGCUCUUUUGGCGGGGAAGAUAAUGACGGUACCCGCAGAAUAAGCUCCGGCUAACUUCGU